UAGAAUUAUAAGCAAACCUGCCGAAAGUCAGGGACGCAAAGCCUUGGGUCUAACGAUACAAUUGUUCUAUGACUGCCAGGUUGCAUCA
rfam:Pelosinus fermentans B4 ctg37, whole genome shotgun sequence.